rnacentral:rRNA from 1 species
UACGAAGGGGGCUAGCGUUGCUCGGAAUCACUGGGCGUAAAGCGCACGUGAGGCGGAUUGUUAAGUCAGGGGUGAAAUCCUGGAGCUCAACUCCAGAACUGCCUUUGAUACUGGCGAUCUCGAGUCCGGGAGAGGUGAGUGGAACUGCGAGUGUAGAGGUGAAAUUCGUAGAUAUUCGCAAGAACACCAGUGGCGAAGGCGGCUCACUGGCCCGGUACUGACGCUGAGGUGCGAAAGCGUGGGAGCAACA